CCCUGCUUUGAUACUAGUAAACGUGCUCAAAGUUCUCUAGGGACCUCUAAGGGCUGAAAAAUUCUCCCUACCACAGUUGCUGUGGGAUAGAGCACGUACAGCGUGAAAGAAAUAGAGUGAAAGGUCCUGGCAAGAUGCCCAUCCUACUUCUCGGAUAAAGGCCUUGGCUCUACUAAGAGGUAACAAAGAAGAAGAGCAGGUUUCAGAAGGUAUGAAAGGAAGCUGCAAAGAAUUGUGGACUUACUGAUAAUGGAUUUCCUACAUUCAGUAGUGUCAACAUCUUUGUUCAGAAUGUACUAUGAAAUAUAGAACAGAAUAAGACCUUCACAGAGGCAGACUUGACAUUAUCUGCAAGUUGAGAGUCAGAGGUUGAUGACUGCUGGAAUCAAGCACUGGUUCUACAGAUCACAGAUCAAUAGGGCUCCACUCAGGCAUGGUGCCAUCCUAUACUGCUUUUGA
rnacentral:lncRNA from 1 species